rnacentral:sRNA from 1 species
ACUUCCGCUUCCCCUCGGCUUUCUUCUCGUCUGUAUUCCCGGCUGCUAUAGAGCCGGGUUAGAGAGCGAGCGCCCGUCCGCGGGCGUCGAGGGCGGGUUGCCUCGCGCUGACCCUUCCCGCCCUCGUUACACACCAGGUCCCCGCGGAAGCGGCGGUGUCGGCGCCAUGGCGGAGCUGACGGCUCUUGAGAGUCUCAUCGAGAUGGGCUUCCCCAGGGGACGCGCGGAGAAGGCUCUGGCCCUCACAGGGAACCAGGGCAUCGAGGCUGCGAUGGACUGGCUGAUGGAGCACGAAGACGACCCAGAUGUGGACGAGCCUCUAGAGACUCCCCUUGGACAUAUCCUGGGACGGGAGCCCACUUCCUCAGAGCAAGGCGGCCUUGAAGGAUCUGGUUCUGCUGCCGGAGAAGGCAAACCCGUUUUGAGUGAAGAGGAAAGACAGGAACAGACUAAGAGGUACAGUAACAACAAUCUCACAUCUCUGAGAGUCGUCUUCCACCUCUCCCCAGUACACGUCUGGUCAAAGAACCUUGACCUUUCCACAUUUCCUCUUUCUUGGCAUUUUCUUUUCCUUUUCUUUAAUCUACUUUG